ensembl:lincRNA
GGCAGCAGAGAGCAGAGAGCUGGGUUGGCUAGCAGAGAGCUGUAGCCUGGUCCCCUUUUCUGGGCUCAUUUCUCUGCCUCCUGACUCACCGAGAUGUACAGGCUCCCCACAAUGAGUCACUCAGCCGCCAUGCCUCCCCACUACAAUGGCCGCCCCACUAUGAUUACUGCUUUGGUGAGUAACACUUUCAUGUUUUCCCUAUACAGGUGUAUACAUAAGACUUUUAUUUUUAAUAAAAUAAGAUCAUAUCAUAGUUGCUUUCAACUUAUCUUUCCCACUCUCUCCCUUAAUAAUAUGCUGUCAACAUGUUUCUGCUUUGAUUAUUUUCUACAGAAGUGACUGUUUUACUCUCUUGGGUCAUGUACCUAUUUGAGAAUCCCAAAGAAUCUUCCUUCCAGAAAUACACACACUCCCACACAAUUAUGCACAUGAUUUCAGAGAUUCCAGGAGCCCUAGACCCUGGCUGAGAGCCUUGAUAUGACAAUACCAUUCUAACGUCUCCAUGACAUCCACCACAGAAGGAUGCUGCAUAAGUUCUCAGGUCAGCUUUAAUCAGCCCCACUGAUCAGACAUUCCUGGGGUUUUUUAAUUGCUAUAAUCAAUGCUGAGGUUAAUAUUCCUAUGGAUAAGUCUUUAAGUUUAGCCCAGGUUAUUUCCUUGGGAUCAAUUCCAAAAGUGUGGUUAUUUUUAAGACAUUUGAUUGUGGUGCUUUCUUUUGCCUUAUUUAUUUUAUUAUUUUUUAUGUAUGAGUGUCUUGCCUGCAUAGAUGUAGUACCACAUAUGUACAUGAUGCUCCCAGGGGUCAGAUCCUGUUAAACUGUACUUACAGAUGCUUGUGAGCCACCAUGUGGGUACUGGGAGACCAACCAGGAUCCCCUGGAAGAACAGCAGUCACUCCAAAGCGCUGAGCCAUCUCUUCAGCCCCGGUUUUGUGCCCUUUUAAUACUGGCUCAGAACUUUUCUUUCUCUUUUUGCUGUCUUGAAGACAGUGAUUUCUCUGACUCCAAGGUCUGAGUUGGGACUGUCAGCUUUCUGGAUGGCUCCGUUGCCAUGGAGACCCUGAAGGUACUGAGCAAGCCAUAGCGUCUCGUGAGUCGUGAGUCAGGUUCCACUUUAUUUAUUAAAAAAAAAGAGAGAGAGAGAGAACCAACGCCUUGACCUACGGAAGACAAAGCAAAGCUCCGGAGGC